CUUGCUCCUUGGGUGACGAGUGGCGGACGGGUGAGUAAUGUCUGGGAAACUGCCCGAUGGAGGGGGAUAACUACUGGAAACGGUAGCUAAUACCGCAUAACGUCGCAAGACCAAAGAGGGGGACCUUCGGGCCUCUUGCCAUCGGAUGUGCCCAGAUGGGAUUAGCUAGUAGGUGGGGUAACGGCUCACCUAGGCGACGAUCCCUAGCUGGUCUGAGAGGAUGACCAGCCACACUGGAACUGAGACACGGUCCAGACUCCUACGGGAGGCAGCAGUGGGGAAUAUUGCACAAUGGGCGCAAGCCUGAUGCAGCCAUGCCGCGUGUAUGAAGAAGGCCUUCGGGUUGUAAAGUACUUUCAGCGAGGAGGAAGGUGUUGAGGUUAAUAACCGCAGCAAUUGACGUUACUCGCAGAAGAAGCACCGGCUAACUCCGUGCCAGCAGCCGCGGUAAUACGGAGGGUGCAAGCGUUAAUCGGAAUUACUGGGCGUAAAGCGCACGCAGGCGGUCUGUCAAGUCGGAUGUGAAAUCCCCGGGCUCAACCUGGGAACUGCAUCCGAAACUGGCAGGCUAGAGUCUUGUAGAGGGGGGUAGAAUUCCAGGUGUAGCGGUGAAAUGCGUAGAGAUCUGGAGGAAUACCGGUGGCGAAGGCGGCCCCCUGGACAAAGACUGACGCUC
rnacentral:rRNA from 1 species